AUUAUUUUAGAGCUUUACAUUGUAAGUAAAUAAUAAUUACGAAAGCAAAAAAUUAUGGCGGUAUUUUAAGCUUUUCAGAGGAAUUUGCUCUUUAAUGGAUAAAACACCUAAAUCUUACUUAAAUUUGUUAGGUCAAUUUGUAUACCACUAUUAAAUUAAUUAAUAAUUUUAAUUUAUAAAAUUUAUAUAAAUUUAAAAAAAAUUAAGUCAAGGUGCAGUAAAAAUUUAAGAAUGAAGUGAAUUACAAUUCUCUUAAGAGAUUAUUUAAAUUAAAAUUUUAAUUUAGGAUUUGAAAGUAAAAUUAAAAUAGAAUGUUAAUUUGAAUAAAGCUCUAAAAUAUGUACAUAUCGCCCGU
rnacentral:rRNA from 1 species